rnacentral:rRNA from 1 species
AAUGAACGUUGGCGGCGUGGAUUAGGCAUGCAAGUCGAGCGCUCAUAGCAAUAUGGGAGCGGCGAACGGCGUAGUAAGACGUAGGAACGUGCCCUCGGGUCGGGGAUAGCUACGGGAAACUGUAGGUAAUACCCGAUAAUCUCUGCGGAGCAAAGGUGUGAUUCCGCCUGAGGAGCGGCUUACGCGAUAUUAGCUAGUUGGUGGGGUAAUGGCCUACCAAGGCGAUGAUGUCUAGGGGGGUGUGAGAGCAUGGCCCCCCACGACCGGAACUGAGAUACUGUCCGGACACCUACGGGUGGCUGCAGUCGAGAAUCUUCCGCAAUGGACGAAAGUCUGACGGAGCGACGCCGCGUGCGGGAUGAAGGCCCUUGGGUUGUAAACCGCUGUCAGAGGGGAUGAAAUCUUCGGAGGUACUCCUCCGAAGUUGACAGAGCCUCAAAGGAAGCACGGGCUAAGUACGUG